rnacentral:rRNA from 1 species
CCUACGGGGGGCUGCAGUGAGGAAUAUUGGUCAAUGGGCGCGAGCCUGAACCAGCCAAGUCGCGUGAAGGAUGACGGUCCUAUGGAUUGUAAACUUCUUUUGUGCAGGAAUAAAGUGAGGAACGUGUUCCUUUUUGUAUGUACUGUACGAAUAAGCAUCGGCUAACUCCGUGCCAGCAGCCGCGGUAAUACGGAGGAUGCGGGCUUUAUCCGGAUUUAUUGGGUUUAAAGGGUUCUGAGACGUCCUUGUGGAAAGUUUGCAGCUUAAUUGUAAAAUUGCCAGUGAAACUGUUAGUCUUGAGUGCAAAUGAGGUAGGCGGAAUGUGUUGUGUAGCGGUGAAAUGCUUAGAUAUAACACAGAACUCCGAUUGAGAAGGCAGCUUACUGGGAUGCAACUGACGCUGAUGCACGAAAGCGUGGGUAUCAAACAGGAUUAGAUACCCGAGUAGUC